rnacentral:lncRNA from 9 species
AAGGGCUGCACCUACAGCAUAUGGAUGUUCCCAGGCUGGGGGUCGAAUCUGAGCUAUAGCUACCAGCCUACACCACAGCCACAGCAACACAGGAUCUGAGCUAAAGAUAAAUUGGAUAUCAGCAUUGAAUAUAAACUAAUGAGGGAGACAAAGUGAGGAAUUCAUAGAAAACUAUUGCUUUAUUCUGGGUCAAAGAUGAAUGCUUGAACUACAGUAGGAGAAAUGAAAGCCAAAUGGAUUCAAGAGACAUUUUAAAGGCAGAAUCAACAGGAUUCAUUGGCCAAUUGGAUCUGUACAAUACACAAGAAGGAAGCAUUCAGGCCCCAGUGAUUCCUAAUUAGCUGACCUAGGAUGGAGACCUGGAAUCUAUUUUAAUAAGUAAAGUGUUUUUUUGUUAGAGAUGGUUCACCAGCCAUAUUUUUCAAAAUAUUGGGCAAAAAGUGAUGUUAGCCAGCCACAGACAAACAGGAAGAACAACUGAGUGGGAAAAGAGAGGAUAAUAAAUUCAGUUUUGGACAAAAGCACUAACAGAGACAUAAUUAAUAGGCAGGAAAAAUGGACAAAUUGUGUGAUAACAAAAUCUAGAGAAAAAAUGAUGGCUAAGUAUGCCUUCCCUCCUGCUUAUAUUCCUAGUCUUCUUUUUAAUGUCUUCUGAUAUUGGCUGACAGUCGACCAGGCCAAAAUAUUAACAACCCUCCAAAAACAAACAAAAACAACAACAAAAAAAGCCCUAUAUUUUUGAAAAGAAAAUAGUGGAGAGAGAAAGAAGAAAUACUCAUUAUUAUACCACAAGAUGUACACUUUUUUUCCUCUCAAAUUUAAAUCAAAAAAGAGAUGAGGCCCACUUACUAUCUUGACGAUGUCAGAAAAACUAGGGGAGUUCCCAUUGUGGCCCAGCGGUUAAUAAACAGACUAGCAUCCAUGAGAACUCGGGUUCAAGGCCUGCCCUUGCUCAGUGGGUUAAGGAUCCGGUAUUGCCGUGACCUGUGGUGUAGGUUGCAGACACUGCUCGAAUCCCACGUUGCUGUGGCUAUGGCACAGGCUGGCGGCUACAGACCUGAUUCAUCCCUAGCCUGGGAAUCUCUCUAUAUGCCAUGCGUGCGGCCCUAAAAAGACAAAAAAAAAAAAAAAAAAAAAAGAUGAAAAACUAGGACAUGUAUAAAAUAGUAAAGCAUUUUAGUGUAAGUCUGCUACAUUAUCUAACACUCUGUUCUGUUGACCUUUAUACGGUAUUAAAUAACAAGAAAAAUUACUUUGUGGUAGAGUGAUUGAAUGUGUGAUUUUUCUUAUGUCUCUCUCUUCUACUCUACCAAAUUUAUGAUAAUGAAAUGGUAUUAUUAAUGACCUUUCACAAGAGUAGAACAGUUUGUACCUAUCUUCUGGUUUUAACUGGAAAAGUUUGAAAAAAUAUUUUCAGUAAUCUUAAAAAGAUCUCCUGGGGGACACUGUCAGAAGACAAUAGUAGUAUAUGUCAAAGGCUGCACCAGAUUCAUAAAGGACAAAGUUGUUUUUGGAAAAAAAAAAAAAAAAAAAA